AGCUCCUCUCUAGUACUUGUGAAUGCUGAGGCUGAUUGCAUGUGUCCUUUCUGGCAAAGAACGGCACUCAAAUUUCUUCCAAAAUCCUUAGGCAUUUCACUUUGCUGACAGAACGUUCUUUGAAGAAACUGAAAGGAAGAUUUGUACAAAUAACGGAAAUUUUGGUUCAGUGGCUGAGCCAAAGGCAUUGCAAGAUCAGCAAAUAGCAGCUUGCACAGAGGCUUGAGCUUCCCCUGGAGUACCUGAAGCUCAAUUUUUAUUUGAUUUCAUGAAACACUUGGAGCAACUGGUGUCCUAUGUAACACAGCUGGAUAGUACCUAUAAAAUCAGAAGAUAAAUGGAACUGGUUUUAAAUACUGCAAGUUACAUUCUGAUCUAAAAUAAAUCUCUCUAAUAAUUCA
rnacentral:lncRNA from 1 species